GACGAACGCUGGCGGCGUGCUUAACACAUGCAAGUCGAACGGAAAGGCCUCUUUCGGGGGGUACUCGCGUGGCGAACGGGUGAGUAACACGUGAGUAACCUGCCCUUGACUUUGGGAUAACUUCAGGAAACUGGGGCUAAUACCGGAUAGGAGCUCCUGCUGCAUGGUGGGGGUUGGAAAGUUUCGGCGGUUGGGGAUGGACUCGCGGCUUAUCAGCUUGUUGGUGGGGUAGUGGCUUACCAAGGCUUUGACGGGUAGCCGGCCUGAGAGGGUGACCGGCCACAUUGGGACUGAGAUACGGCCCAGACUCCUACGGGAGGCAGCAGUGGGGAAUAUUGCACAAUGGGUGGAAGCCUGAUGCAGCAACGCCGUGUGCGGGAUGACGGCCUUCGGGUUGUAAACCGCUUUCGCUCAUGACGAAGCUUUGUGUGACGGUAGUGGGUAAAGAAGCACCGGCUAACUACGUG
rnacentral:rRNA from 1 species